CCCUCAUUUAUGGACAACAAGGAAGCGCUUUAUUAAGAAGCCGAAAAUGUAAUUGACUGAAGAAUGGUAUUCAUACCACAGUAAUCACCAUUUGUAUAGCAAAGCUAAAGGAUCCUCUGUGUGGCAUUUGAACGUGUGGAGGCCAUGUUUACAAGGGCAAGGGGGCAGUACUUUGAAAUGUUCAGGUGCCACCUGUUUAGAAGACACUUACGGGGAAGACAUUUUGCACUGUAAUUUUCACUGCAGUGGAAAAAUCAGCGAGGCCCAAGCAAGCCAAGUGAUGCUCACCUGUGUCUGCUGUUCCACACUGUCUUUCAAAACCGUGCCCCAAAGGGGAGGUGACCCUGGACAAGGCCCAGACUGACAUGAUGUGGAUGUGGCUUUUGGAGUUCUCCUCCCGUAAUGCUAACAUUCCUUUGGUGGCUGUCACAUGUUUACCAACCAGCAGCCUUCCUCGUUCCUUGGGUCAUUAAGUCAACAAAUACGAAGCAGAGAAAAAGAAGAGGCACCACUCCAGUCCCUGAAACUCAGGGUUGUGCUUCUGUUCCACUUUGCCCUGCUUGUGUGAGCACCACAGGUCCAGAGGAUUUAGAAACCUGUCCCAGGAAGAAAGCUUUGAAAUGUAUUUUCUGUGAGAAGAGUAUCUUUGGGAAUUUUCACUGCUGGCUUGACUUGUUUUGCUGCUUUACGUAAGGACAAUUAGGGGAGUUGGAUAGAAGGCCUUUGGAGCUUCCUUCCGAUGCAACACUGUGAUUGUAUGAAGAAGGAAGAUCUGGGGAACUACUGGCUAGUCAGCCUCACCUCAGUCCCUUAGACGAUGAUGGAACAGCUCAUCCUGAAGGCCAUCUCUAAUCAUAUGGAAGUCAAGAAGAUGAU